AACAUUAUACCGAUGUUUUCAUAUUUUCGCAGAUUACUAUAGACGCAUCUAUUCAGUUUCCGAAUAUGAAUAGCUCGUUACCGGAGAUUUCGAGAAAGCUUUUCAUAUUUGCAUCUCGACUCAAAAUCGUUCAUUAGACGUGAACGUGCUGAUAAAAGAAUUCAACGAUUUGAAGCGAAGUAGCAUUGAAGAGCAGGCCAUUGCAGAAGUACAGCAACAGCUUCUCGCACUCAAACUCCUUCCUCACUUGCUUAAAGUAAACCACAAACGGAAAGGAAAAUCCGAUGCUAAAGUAUCAUUGUACUCAUCUUAUAAGUCUAUCGCUGAAGCAACGAAAAACGACGGAAGUUCUAAUGAUGCCCUUCCAUAUUUAAAUCUGAUCGAGGAAACAUCGAUCCCUCAAGCACAGCUAGUAAUUGCUGGUAGAAAGUUUUUCAUCGAUGACCCACUAAUAGCAUUCGACGUUCUGUUCAAAUCGUUUUGGCGUUAUCGCUGAAUUAUCCAGAUAAGUGCCAACACCUCUGGUUAUUCGUUCAAAAGUCAAUUUACAAUGUGCAUAAGAGUACCGAUCUAAAACUAUCCAAUGUUACAACAUUUAUUCGGGAUAUUUCGAACUUGUCAAACGAUUAGCAUUGAAAUGAUUCUAGUAGUGUUGAAGGAGCAAGUGACUGGCUGUAGAAUUUGGAUGAUAAUUUUUUCUUUUUUUUUUUGUUUUCUUCCCGGUACAAGAGACCUUCCUGUUAUGUAAAC